GUGUGUCUGGGGGAACGAUCGAACAAGGAAGGAGGAGGGGGAAACCCUAAACUCAAGAAAUCAAGCAAUUGAAGCCUAAAAUCAUGAGAAAAUCCAGUGCAUGAGCCAUCUUAUCGAUCAUGUAAGCAUACCUAGUGAAGUGGAACGUGUCAAGGAGAGCUCAAGCAUAGGAGGAUAACGGGUCAAGAUAAGGCAAGGUGACAAAUACACUUAUUGGAGUACUCAAGGUAAGUGAUUUCUAUAAUCACUUCUUUAGUUGUUUAAGUAAUAUAAUGUUUUAAUCAUUAAGUUCAUAUGAAGUUGAGGUCAAAUCAAUAGAUUAUUUUGAUAAAUGCACGAAUGGGUCGAAUAAUUCAUAGAUGAAUAACAAGCCGAAUACGUAUAAGUUAAGAAAUUCCUUAACUCGGAUGUUGGACUUCAAGAUCACAUGAUAGAAUAUUAAAUUACAAUCAUAUAGGAAGUAACGUGACGCAAAACGGAUGAAAAAUGAGAGAGUUAUGUUCGUUUCGGUAAGGAUUAAUGGCUAGGAAAAGUGCAGAGUUGACACGGCCGGGUGGUGAACUGACACGGCCGGGUGAAGGUUCUGUCAAAAAUAUUAUUUAUGUGAUUUAUGCACCGUAGGCUUCGGUAUAUUAUCCGUGAACUACGACGGGCCUCCCAAACAUGAUUUCGAGUGUUUCCUUGACGAUUAUAAGUUGUAAACCCAAGUCUAAGCCUCAUGUAAUUUAUAUAAGAGUGUGAUAGAUGUAUGUAAUGAAGUUGGACAUGUAUUACAUGUAAAUGUAUACAAAAAUACGUACGGAACACGUAGGUACGAAUACAUGAUUGUAGGUAUGAUUAAAUGUAUAUUAGGUAUGUAGAUGUGCAUGAUUGUAAGUUUGUAUGUGUGCAAGUAUGUGCGAAUGCAUGAUUUGGAUGCAUUUGAGAAUUAGCGUUACUAAUAAUGCCCUUGGGUUUGGAAUAUAAGUUAAUUGGAUGCAUUUAAAUGGUUGAUGUCCUUUUUAUGAAGAUGUAGUAAAUGAAUAUGUUGAGACUACGGGUUUGGCUAACCAAGUUAUUAUUGAGUAUGUUUGAAAGUGCAGGUUAUGAAUGUUGGACACUCAAAGUGUUGAUAUAAUAAUGAAACGGAUGAAUCUUGAAGGGAUAAUCGGAUUGAAGUAACUUAUGCGGUUAGAAUAUGCUGUGGACGUUUUAGUUUAUACAACAUUUUACGUUUGGUCGUCAUCAUCUACCAACGGGUUAGUUGUUUGAAAAUAUAUGUCAUACCCAUUUAAUUGGGUAAUCGAAUGCGCGAGAGAAAUGAAAGUACAUACACGAAUGGAACUAAAGUGACGGUUUUAUAAGCAAAUAAGUAAAUGACUAACUUUUUAAAGCAUUGUUGUUGAAUGUAGGUAAAUCCUCAAUUCAGGCGACUUGGAGAAUCGGAGCGAGCGCGUGUUCAUGUUAUGUCAUACCAAACGCUUCCGCUAGCUUGUUCAAAUGUUUUUAGUCCAAAAUUUGUUGUAUUGGUUCUUAGUAGUAUUUUGUCGAAUGAAUCGUAGAAUUGUAUCUAGUUUGAUUAUGUUUAAAACAGGGGAAUGCUCGUUUUAUGGACGGGUCAUGCCCAAUUUUUG
rnacentral:lncRNA from 1 species